CGCUGGCGGCACGCCUAACACAUGCAAGUCGAACGAAGUAGCAAUACUUAGUGGCAGACGGGUGAGUAACAUGUAGGUAUCUGCCCUUUGGCCUGGAAUAACACGAGGAAACUUGUGCUAAUACCGGAUAAGUCUUUACGGAGAAAGCUUUAUGCACCAUUGGAUGAGCCUGCACUUGAUUAGUUUGUUGGUGGGGUAAUGGCCUACCAAGACUGUGAUCAAUAGCUGAUUUGAGAGGAUGAUCAGCCACAUUGGGACUGAGACACGGCCCAAACUCCUACGGGAGGCAGCAGUGGGGAAUCUUGCACAAUGGAGGAAACUCUGAUGCAGCGAUGCCGCGUGAGUGAAGAAGGCCCUUGGGUUGUAAAGCUCUUUCGUCGGGGAAGAAAAUGACUGUACCCGAAUAAGAAGGUCCGGCUAACUUCGUGCCAGCAGCCGCGGUAAUACGAAGGGACCUAGCGUAGUUCGGAAUUACUGGGCUUAAAGAGUUCGUAGGUGGUUGAAAAAGUUAGUGGUGAAAUCCCAGAGCUUAACUCUGGAACUGCCAUUAAAACUUUUCAGCUAGAGUAUGAUAGAGGAAAGCAGAAUUUCUAGUGUAGAGGUGAAAUUCGUAGAUAUUAGAAAGAAUACCAAUUGCGAAGGCAGCUUUCUGGAUCAUUACUGACACUGAGGAACGAAAGCAUGGGUAGCGAAGAGGAUUAGAUACCCUCGUAGUCCAUGCCGUAAACGAUGUGUGUUAGACGUUGGAAAUUUAUUUUCAGUGUCGCAGGGAAACCGAUAAACACACCGCCUGGGGAGUACGACCGCAA
rnacentral:rRNA from 1 species